CGGCCCCGGCCCCGGCCCCGGCCGCCGAGCCCUGCCCCGCACCGCCCCGGCGCGCAGGGUCCCGGCCUCCCCGCGGGCGGGGCCCGGCCUCGCUUGGGGCCUCAGCGCCUCGGAGGCGUGGGCGCGCGGCGAGCGGGGGCAGGGCGCCGGGGCCGCCCUUAGGCCUUAUCGCGGGGCCUCCGAGCCGGAGCCGCCGCCGCCGUCAUCUCCCCCACAGCCGAGCCAGGCCCCGCUGCGUCGCCCGCCGUAGGGGGCGGGGCCCUGCUGGCCAUUGGCCCCGCCCACCGCGCGUGGAGGGGCGGGGCCUGGAAACCGCCGCGGGGCGGGGCGGGGCGGGAGGAGGCCUGUGGGGGAGCCGGCCGGUCCCUGUGACCCUCCUCGCCGGGGCCUCGGAGAGCAGGUGCCUGCUGCCCGGCCCAGCGCUCCUCCUCCUGCGGCCCAGGUCAGACCCAGCCGGAGGGCUCCUCGCGCGCACAAGGGCCAGACCAGACCCCCUGUCCCUGCACGCGUUGGCCCAGGACUGAUGUCUUUCGCUGCCUCUCCACUAACGUAACCGCGCCGCAGGGUUGGUCCCCGCGUUGCCCCUGGGAAGGUGACUUAGCCCGACGCAAAAUCCAGGGAUGCAGCAAUUGAAGUAUUUGAUUUGAUUUUUUUCUGGAUUCAAGAUGGCAACUCACCCCCCCCCCCCCCCCCGGAGAACUUUCGGAGCAAGGGAAGGGACUUCCGAUGGCAAAGGUAAAAUCCAGUCCUUCUUUCCCCAACCCAAUAGAGCAACGGUUAGAAUCAUAGAAUUGAAGGACCAAAAGGGACCUACAAGAUCAUCAAAUCCUGUCCCCUGCCAUGGGCAGGAAGUUACUAGGCUCAAAUGAGCUCAACAAGGGGCAAAACCCUUUAAUGCAGAUGGGAGUAGUUCCAUUGACUUCAGUGGCCUGUAAAUCACAUCUUUAAGAAGCCUUUUCUCUUCUUUCAGUUUCAGCACUGGAAUGCUACGUUUUGUGGGGUUGUAAAUCCCAUUUGUAAACCAAUGGCGAGUUAUUAGCCAUGAAGAAAUGGAGAUUACUCCAAGCAGAGGGAGAGGUAAUCCUAAUUCUUUUAGUCAUGUCAAUAAAGGACUUUGUUUCCACCCCGAAAAGCAACUUAAAGUCAGGGGCUCAUCCCCAGUUUAAUAGAGAACAAUCACCUGGGUUCUGCUGCUAGGAAGGAUGGGACAUGUUUGUACGCAUUUGAAUUUUAUGAGUAUACUUCCUAUGACUUUGUCUUUCUCUUCUGGGUGCUUGUGGAGAAAGCUAUCCAAAUGAUUUUAUGAAUUGGAAGAAAUGGCAGGCCUUGGUGUAUAUCCAAAACAUGAUCCAACUAGAAGAGGGAAAUUCUACAGGACAUGUGUGAAAUUGAUUACUUUAAACAUUGAAGUCAUGAAUGAUACUGAAUAGAAGUUCUGAACAGGUACUGCUGUUCAGGCUGAGGAGAAAGUGGUGCUGUCCUUCGGAUCCAGAACUAUGCACAGAAACUAUCCACAAGAGAUACUAGGGUUCACAUGGAAUUCCUGCUCUCCCAGCCAUGCAGUCUCCAGUAGUGGGGAACAGACCAUGUGGACAAGAAAACCAGAGGCAAAAUCUGAACAAGGAACACCAGUGACAUCAGACAAUUUUCUGCAGUUUUUACUCUGAAGAGUCUAUCCUCUGCUGAUUUGCUGUGUGUGAAUUUACUGUAUUCAUUUCCUCUAUCCCUCCCAUUCCUUUGUCUUUCUGUUCACCAAAUCGCUAACAGAGUUCCCCUGAAAAGAUUUAAAUAAAAAGGAAGAAAACCGCA